rnacentral:rRNA from 1 species
UACGUAGGGUGCAAGCGUUGUCCGGAAUUAUUGGGCGUAAAGAGCUCGUAGGCGGUUUGUCGCGUCGGCUGUGAAAACCUGGGGCUCAACCCCGGGCCUGCAGCCGAUACGGGCAAACUAGAAUUCGGUAGGGGAGACUGGAAUUCCUGGUGUAGCGGUGAAAUGCGCAGAUAUCAGGAAGAACACCCGUGGCGAAGGCGGCUCUCUGGGACGGUACUGACGCUGAGGAGCGAAAGCGUGGGGAGCGAACAGG